UACAGAGGGUGCGAGCGUUAAUCGGCAUUACUGGGCGUAAAGCUCACGUAGUCGGCUUUGCAAGUCGGUUGUGAAAUCCCCGGGCUCAACCUGGGAACUGCAUCCGAGACUGCAUUGCUAGAGUAUGGGAGAGGAAAGCGGAAUUUCUGGUGUAGCAGUGAAAUGCGUAGAUAUCAGAAGGAACAUCAGUGGCGAAGGCGGCUUUCUGGACCAAUACUGACGAUCAGGUGCGAAAGCGUGGGGAGCAAACAGG
rnacentral:rRNA from 1 species